GUUAAACAGUCAUAUCUUUUUACCCGUAGCUCCGAAUCAGGUGAUUCCAAAGCCCACGUCUUCGUUUCGUCGAGCCCGUUCCGUUGAUAUCAUUUUCAUAAUGUUUUCACAUAGUGAAAAUGACCAUUCUGCCCUUGCCCGUAAACAGCCCCCUUCGAGAGAGAACUGUUUCUGGCAAAUCUUUCCGCGAUCGUUUCCCACUUCUUCCCGGAGUAUUUGUCGACCUCCAGGCAAGCCAACCUCUUAUCAUGAGCCCUGAACUUGCAUGUUGACUUUGCUUGCACCUUGUGUGUGUGUGUAGUUGCAGUUGUUUUAUAUCGUUUUCAUCGGCAGUUAUUUCUUUAUGCCUAUCUUGCAUGCUUGUGUUUCAUGAUACCUUUGCCAUGUUAAUUAGAAUGUUAUUAUUAAUAAUGCCAUGCCACUACUCUACUUUAUUUGCAUGUCAUCGUCAUAAACUGUUAUGAGGAUUGUAAUGCACCGUUGAUAUACUAUUGUCGUGUCCUUUAUGUUAUAGUUGUGCACUUGAGUAGUUCAAUAU
rnacentral:lncRNA from 1 species